AUGCCCGCCUCUUCUCCGUCUCCCGCGGGCAACGACGACGGGCCGUCGCUGACCGCGUCGGCCAUCAUCGCUCCAGCCGUGUCCGGGUCGCAUGUCGUCAAGAUAGACGGCUACUCCCGCACCAAGGGGCUUGGCAACGGCAAACGCAUCAACUCCGAUACUUUCAUCAUCGGAGGCCAUCGAUGGUGUGUGCAGUACUACCCUGACGGUGCUGCCUCAAACGACACCGAUUGGAUAUCCGUUUUUCUGUUCUCUGACCGAAGUGAUGAUACUGAAGUCAAAGCAAAGUUCAAGAUAAGUUUGCUUGGCCAAGAUAGGCAACCAGUGCCGCAGUACAGUUUCAGCACCCUGAUACACACCUUCUCCAGCAAAGAAGCUGCAUGGGGCUUCGCUCAAUUCAUCAAAAGAAAUGACUUGGAGGAAUCCCUUCACCUCAAGGAUGAUGUUUUCAGCAUCAGGUGCGAUGUCACCGUGUUAAAGGAGAUCUUCACCGAGCCAAUCCGGCCGCCUGUGGUGGUGCCGGUGCCACCAUCUGACAUGCACCAGCAUUUUGGACAGCUGCUCUUGGCCGGUGAGGCGGCCGAUGUCAAUUUCGAGGUCGGUGCGGAGACAUUCGCUGCACACAGGUGCAUACUCGCAGCUCGGUCGUCGGUCUUCAAGGCGGAGCUGCUUGGUACCAUGAAGGAGAAGACCGCAACUCACAUACGAAUCGACGAUAUGGAACCCAAGGUGUUCAAGGCUUUGCUCCACUUCAUCUACACCGACUCGCUGCCCGUGAUGGACGAGGGCGAUGGGGCAGCGACUGCCCAGCAUUUGCUGGUAGCGGCGGACAGGUAUAGUAUGGAAAGGCUGAAGCUGAUCUGCGAGGGAAAGCUGUGCGAUCACAUCUGCAAGAGCACAGCAGCGACGACGCUGGCACUGGCUGAGCAGCAUGGUUGUGGUUCUCUCAAGAAGGCGUGCUUCAAGUUCCUGACGUCUCCGGGUAACCUGAAGGCAGUCAUGGCAUCUGAUGGAUACGAGCACCUGAGGAGCAGUUGCCCAGGUGUUAUGGACGAACUGGUGGCCAUGCUUGCUCCUUGA
rnacentral:rRNA from 1 species